GACGAACGUUGGCGGCGUGCUUAAUACAUGCAAGUCGACUGAAGCAGUGGUAGCAAUAUCGCUGUGGAGGUGGCGCACGGGUGAGUAACACGUAGGUAAUCUGCCUUCAGGUCUGGCAUAACUCCGGGAAACCGGGGCUAAUAGCAGAUGAUGCAGCGGCUCGACAUCGAGACAGUUGUUAAAGCUCUGGCGCCUGAAGAUGAGCCUGCGUCUGAUUAGCUAGUUGGCGGGGUAACGGCCCACCAAGGCAACGAUCAGUAGCUGGUGUGAGAGGAUGAUCAGCCACACUGGAACUGAGACACGGUCCAGACUCCGACGGGAGGCAGCAGUAAGGAAUAUUGCUCAAUGGGAGAAAUCCUGAAGCAGCAACGCCGCGUGAGGGACGAAGGGCUUUUGCUUGUAAACCUCUGUAGUGAGAGAAAAAAAUACCAAUCUUUGGGACAUGGUGGUAUCUCAAAAGUAAGCCCCGGCUAACUACGU
rnacentral:rRNA from 1 species